GCAGCCAAUCACAGGCCGUCCUGGGCGCGCGUGCGGAGGCUCGCGGGCUGCCGCAGGCUGUGUGAGCUUGAGGAGGUGGCGUGGCCUCAGGCUCUGCCCGAGGAGCGCUGCUCGGGCGGGUGCCACGCCGCUGCUUCGCGGGAGCGGCGGAGACUGUGACCUCAAAGAUGUGAUAUCCUGCUGGAAACAUCCCAAGAUCUUAAAAGUUUCAGUCCAGGAUAGAGCAGGGUGGCAGAUGAAAUAAAAGAAACACUGGGACUUGCGGCCACAUCUUUCAAGAACAGAAAAAUUAGAAAAUGGAACAACCAUGUUUGUUAUAUGAAGAAGACCCAGAACCAGAACUACAGAAAAGUGCAAAAGGAACCAAACAAAAGGAUGAUGAAGAUGCUGAACUGAUCUUUGUUGGGGUAGAACAUGUAAAUGAAGAUGCUGAGCUGAUUUUUGUUGGAAUGACAUCAAAUUCAAAACCAGUUGUUUCAAAUAUUUUAAACAGAGUCACCCCAGGUUCGUGUUCAAGGAGAAAAAAGUAUGGUCGUUUGAGAAGAAGUACUGCCCAAAGUAUGCAACCUGAAAGUCAUGUCCCCUCUCCAUCUGAAACAGUGACUAUCUUGUCAGAGUCUCCAUCUGAAUCAAGGUCAACUGAUAGUCCUAUUAUUAUUGAACCUUUGUCUGAACUUGAUGAUAGAAAUAAUUCUUCACAAGUUGUGCCUAGUAGCUCUUCAAACUUAGAUUCUCCUUUGGUUACAUUAACAAAUUCAUCACAUCAUCCAGUAGAAACAGUACUUUCAUCAGGAGAUAUGAAUGAAAGUCCGUGUGUCUCAAAGCGAUGCUCUACUUCCGAAGUAAAUAACAUAAAUCCUAAAAGUCCUAAACUCAGUGAUGGAAUCAUAGGAGGAAUUUCUUCAGCCUUAUCUGCUUCAGAUAAUUCUCCUACAGUGACUCUUCAGCAAAGUACAUCUUCAAAUGAUGUUCAUACCUCAUUAAGCCAUGUUCAGAAUAUAGCGCCUUUCCCAGCAGUUUUUCCAAAGGACAGUGUCCAUUUCAGGCCUGCAAAUAUAAAUCCUGAUGUGGACAAUGGAUUGGCAAAAAUUUCAACUCUAGCAGGUCAAAAUAAGAACUGUGAUCCCAAGACAGGAAGUCUGAUCCUGUUACUUAGUGACUUUUACUAUGGACAGCAUAAAGGAAAUGGGCAGCCAGAACCGAAGACUCACUCAACCUUCAAAUGCCUCAGCUGCUUGAAAGUUCUAAAAAAUGUUAAGUUUAUGAAUCACAUGAAACACCAUUUCGAACUUGAGAAGCAGAGGGGUGACAGCUGGGAAAGCCAUACCACCUGCCAGCACUGUUAUCGUCAGUUUCCCACUCCCUUCCAGCUGCAGCGUCACAUUGCAAGUGUACACACUGCUGAGGAACCCUGUGCUGUCUGUAAAAUCUGUGAGCUGUCAUUUGAAUCAGAUCAGGCUCUUUUACAACACAUGAAAGACAAUCAUAAACCUGGGGAAAUGCCCUAUGUGUGCCAGGUUUGCAAUUACAGAUCAUCUGCCUUUGCUGAUGUGGAAACACAUUUUAGAAUAUGUCAUGAACACACUAAGAAUUUACUGUGUCCAUUUUGUCUUAAAAUUUUCAAAGCUGCAGCACCAUAUGUGUGUCAUAGUAGGCGACACUGGGGAAAGAGUGUUAACCAUUGUUCUAAAUGUCGGCUUCAGUUUUUAACUUUUAAGGAGAAAAUGGAGCAUAAGACGCGGUGUCAUCAGACCUUUAAGAAGCCAGAGCAACUAGAAGGAUUACCUCCUGAAACCAAAGUUGUUAUUCAAGUGUCACUGGGACCUACUCAGCCAGGCUCAGUGAAGGAAGCAUCUAUUACUAUGUAUCUGUGUGAUGCUGUCAUAAAACAGCUUGGUUCUGAAAUCUUCUAUGUGGAUGUCAAGAAGCUGUGGCAUGAAUGGAGACAAGGAGGGCAGAGGUUAACUAAGGAAGAAUAAUGGUUUCUUGUCCCCAUUGAUACGGAGUAUGAAGAGGCUGUACACUUCUUCUCCAUACCAGUGAAGCAUGUGAACAUUUCCCAAGAGAAGGAAGCCCUGGCAUCCGGAGUUUUAAGGGGCUUUUCCACAGAAUUGUGGAGUACUCUCUGAACAUUGGUUCCUAAACACUGAUGAGCUUUGGCUUCUGUGAGUUCCCAGGAUUCUCUCCCCAGCACACUCCGCCCCCCUCUCCCCUGCCAGUGCUGGAAUUACAGAUGUGUGUUACUGCCACCAUCAGAUGGUUUUUGUUGGACCCAGACAGCGUAGUUACUGGUUGUGACAGCCCCAGUACUGGAAGCACAGGUGAGUGUGACUGUCCCUCCAGGAGAGAUGUACAGGGAAGAUUCCUGAGUCACCACAGCCUGAGAUUCGGCCCCUGAAAAUAAGUGAGGAACCUGAUGGUCAGGAGAGGAGACAGAGGCAGCAGAGCUGCCUUCCACAGCUCCAGGCAGAAAAUCCUUGCUGACCUGUGAUGUGAGCCUUAAUGUGAGCAGGAGAGGAGCCCAGGCCAUGGUACAGACAGACAGGAUUGUGCUUUACAAGUCUGCUUAGCAUACAAGCAGCCCUCAGCUCUCAUUAUAACUCUUACCACCCUGCUGGGUGGUGGGGGCAGGGUUUUCAUGCAAAUGAGAUUGCCCUGCCAGCCAAGGAAUUCCACAACUUGUUCAGGUCACACCUACUGAGUUAACCCUCAGUCAGUAUGUGUAGUAAAAUCUACAGCCUACAUAAUUUAUCAAUUGCUCCUUGAUGCGCCACAGUGAAGCCCAUUACAUCCUCUAGCGUCAGCAGUGAAAAUACCAGGGAUGGAAUACAUUACUGCAAAUUUUUUCCUGUUUAUAAUCCCUUUUUUUGGUUCUCAAAGUUUUAGUUUUCUCAGUAUAUAAGUCCAUUGCCUGAGAUUUUGGGAGGAAGCUGGAUGGAGGUGUUUUGGGCAGUUGAGACCUAAAUAAGUUACCGCUUUCCUCCAAGUCAUCAGAUACCUUGAGUAGAGAAGCUGAAACCGUGGAUUCUUUUGGUCUCUGAAUUUAGGUGUCUUGGAAACUCAUUCCACUCCUUGAGAAGUCCAUUUUUCCAGGCCUAGUAGAAUUUCAGAGUUUAUUUUUGUAUGGUAAUUAUGGGGCAUUACCGAAAUAUGUGGUGAAUGUUUACAAAAUUAAUGCUGUAAAAGACACAUUUUAUCCCCCUCAAAAUAUUUCUCAUUGCCUUAAAACACAUUUCUCCCAUUACUCUUGCUCUUUCUGAAAAUCUUGAUGACUUUUUACAAAGUUUAAUAAAAAUAUGCUGAUCGCAGCACAAAUGCAGGACGUAAAAACAUUCAGGUGUGUCCUUAAUGUACCUCUGCCAGAGAUCUGGCAGUCUGUGAUUUCUGAUCCAAAUGACCACAAAGACGAAUGCUUUAAUUGAUUCAGGACAUUGAGGCAGCCAUAACAGCACAAGCAUAAACAUGAAAGAAAGCUUGCAAAACUACUUUAGAAGUUAGCAAAGAGGGUAGAUAAAUAUUCAAAGACAAUGAGAGUAUUUUGAGUGAGAUUAAUUUUGGUAAUACCAUUUAAUGUAACAAAAAAUGUAAAUAUUGACUAUUUUUUAACUACACGUUGUAUUUUUUGUUUCUUCAGAAUACUAAGAAGAACUACACUGAUUUUCUCUGAAGGUUGGACAAAUUGUGUAUGUGUGUGUGUGUGUGUGUGACCAUAUGGCUCUCAUGGUAAAACUGCACAUCACAACUUCAGAGCAUUAAUCUUCUCUGGGCCUCUUAAACUUAGCACCUUCUGUGUCCCCUGGUCAUGUGGUGGACCAGUAUUUUCAAUCAAAGAUGAUGAGCUUCCAGAAGCUGAAGUGGCCAGUUAUGUAUGUUGCUCCAGGGUGGACAUUUUGAGAUGUAAUGAUUUCACUUCUUGUGGAAGGGAUGAUUUCCUUUCUCUUGUCACAUGGUAGAAGACUUCUGGGAUCUUCAUUGAUAGGAUAGGCUCCUGAAACUUUAGUGCUAGACUGUUGUCUAGAUCAUUUGUUGAAUUUAUCAUCUCUUGCCUUAAUGGUUUGCCUAAUAUGAUAUCUUCAAUGGAAUGUGAGUAAUAUUUAGACCUUUUAAGAUAGUCAAUAUAGAAGUUAGUGGCCCUGAAGUAAAACCUUUAAAGUACCUUUAGGUAAAUUAGGAAUGUAAAUUAUUUUAGAUUUUUGUUGUUUUAAAAAAUUUUUCUUUGUUGAUAUGAACGGGAAGUACAAAUCUACUAAGUCAACAGCUUUUUAUUUUCAAUGCAACUGUACUAUGUUGGGCUCCUGUGAAAUCAGUCUCUGAGUUAGAACGUUUCAUUUGGAAUGACCUAUGAAGAAAAGUGUUAAGAGGAUGUCAAAGAGGGAUAUAUUAACGUGUAGUGCAGUCACAAAGAUUUCAGCUGAUCAUAUGUGGAUUAAUGAUGUGAUGAGAAGAUCUCUCAGACACUUUGCAAAUUUAAGUAACUUGUAUGUUGUGCUCAUGUGAUAAGCAAAACCUAUGUGUGGGUCGUCCAAAGUAAAGGGUGCAAUUUUUGAGCAGUCAAAACUUUUAAUCAUGGAAAAAUUUCCAAGAGAACCUCAGCUAGUAUGCAUUAGCAUGCAACACUCCUGAGAUCUGGAAGAGGGAGGGUCAUGAUGUUGAAGGAGAAAACUAGAUGUGACAAUUACAUAUAUAAUUCCCAUGGAAUGGAAGAAACCACCAAGAAUUUGGCUGAGCGUCCACCUCCCUGAGGUUGAUGGUACUUCUGUAUUUGUGCAAAGGAGGUAAAGAUUGUCCAGAGGCUUCUGCCAGGGUUCAACAAGGCACCAAGGAACUUCCAGGAAGAUGGCAAAGUGGUAAGUAGCAGAGAAAACAGCUUCUCUGAGAGUCACUAUCCAGAUGCUGGAAUACAGUAUCUUGAGGAAGACAAGAAGGAAAUGGGUCCCCUGGGCCCAGGAAGAAUCUGAAGUAUGAACUGAAGCCCAGAGAGACUGAAAAGGAAAACUUCAAGGGAGCAGCCAGUAAGUAGCACCAUCUCCCUGAGACGAGACUCACUGUGUGAGAGGAGCUGUUUAAACCGGGGGACCUAUGGUCACAGUGAUGGUGACUGCUGGUGACCCCCCCAGGCCUCUGCAGAGAGAUGUGGCAGUGGAGCGGAGCAGUGGAUGUGGAGGAGGUGAGUGCAGAGGACUGAGUCCACUCACACAGAGAGAACAAUUAGCUGGAAACCAUUUUGGAGAUGGGAGGAAUAAGCCCAGAGUCCAGAACUGCUGCCAGCCUUGUCUAGUAGCUCCUAGCUGGGUGAAGAUCUGUGGAAAUUUCUUGGACUGUGGCAAGCCCAAUCAAUGAGUCUGGUCUCAGGGCAGGCCUGCUGAGACUAUCUACUAUUCACCAUAAAGAACCUGCUGGCUGACUGGGACAGAUCGGCACGAUUCUGAGCUCUUGUCUCCACAAGUUGUUGUCUACUUAGUGAAAUCAGAUAGAAGUCUGAAAGCGGACUGUUUGCUUUUCUUUUUCUCCUUUAUUGUUUUUAUAAAAAUGAGUGUGAAAGUGGUUCCUAACCUCUCUGUGGGUGCGGUUCUGUUCUUUGUUUUAUCCCUUCCAUUUAUCCCUUUUCCUUCAAUCUUCUGCAUCAGUUUCCCCAAGUUGGCACGAUCCCCUUGUGUCCCCCAACCUUAUUUCUAAUCUCUUUCUCUUCUUUCACUUCUAUAUUUUCUCCUUAAUCAAUUUUAAAUUUUAACCUUCAAAGGCUUUUUUCCCAUUUUAUUAUGCAAUCAUAAAUCUAGUUCAGAUCGUUAAAAGUUGAAAAUUAAAGGCUAGCUUAGUUUGUUAUUUUCUAGGCUGCGUUUGAUACUGUUGUUCCACUAUAGCCAAAAUGGAAAUAAUUCUUCUAAACAGCUAUUGGCCCUGAUGAUCCAUGACUGAGGUUAACUAAGAGCUACAGAAAAUAUGGUGACACAGUGUUGAAGAACCAGGAACUGGACCAAACAAGCAACAACUUCUCAUCUCCAACAAACUGAAGAGGUAAGACCUUCCAACAGACUCAGAACUCAACAAGGCACUGAAAUCAGUCAGCUAAUUCAUUGAUGUUCUUUAGUUUUAGGAGCUGUGUAUCUUUUACCAUGCUCAAAAUGAGCACUGGGCCUGGAGGCCAAAGUCUAUAAAGUGAGCCAUAAUUGGGCAGAGAAAGCAGCAGCACAUCUUAGGGGACGUUUUGGCCAUUGACAGAGGUAAUAAUAUGUUAUCAGGUACAGAUUGACAGGAGCAUCAGAAUCACCAGUGGAGACAGAUUGCAUAUAUAUAACAAGGGAAUGUAUUAAAACCCUAGGUAACAAAAUAUUCUCUUAUAAUUAAGGACAAUUAUUUUUAGGAAUAUAUUUGGGAGAUAUGUUAGCUGGAACUCAAAUAAUUCAGUUAAAUAAGUCUCAAAAUAUAAAGUAUAAUUGAAGAAAAGUGGGUAGACAUUAGGCAAUUUAUCCAGAUGUCUUUAUAUAAAAAUAAGCAUUUUGUUUGAUACAGCAGUACACACCUGUAACUCCAGCACUUAGGAACCUGAGGCAGAAGAAUCACUUCCAGCCUGGAAAAGAAUUAGUAUUUCAGAAAAACAAAUGAUGGCAUAUAUUUUUUAAGGGAAAACUAAGUAACAAAAUUUAGAUGCAUUGAAUAGAAUAUUUUUAAUUGUUUUAAUAUAUGUUUGUAGUACAUAAUGGUUACAUUCAUUGUGGCGAGGUGGUAUAAGUAUUCUAAAACAUCUUAUUUUUAUUUUGUAUACCCCUUAUCUCCCUCCAUCUCUUGGUCCCUUCCUUUUUUGCAAAUAUAUAUCUCCCCAUUUUCAAAUGCUUAUGUUCUAACUGCUUUUUCUUUAUGACUUAGGUUAUUCCCAUCAGAGAAUGUAUGUAAUAGUUAAGCUUUUGUGCCUUAUUUAUUUAAAUGAAAUAUAUGGUCUCAAGAUUCAUCUGUUUUCCUACACAUGACCCAUAAUUAUCCUUCUUCAUGGCACAAUAGUACUUUACUGCAUAUAAAUCCCAUGUUUUAUCUAUUUAUCUGUUGAUGGACAUGUAUGUCACCUCCAAGUUUUAGCUAUCAUAAAUUGUGUUUCUAUCAACAUGGGUGUGCAUAUGUUACUGUAAUAUGAUGUUUUAACACAUUUAGGAAGAUCCCCAAAAGGGAAAUUUAUGGGUGGAAGGCAGUUCUAUUUUUUUGAGGAAUUUCUGUACUGAUUUCUAUAGUGGUCUAGUAUACCACAAAAAAUGUAGCAGUAAAAAUUAAAAUUAAAAUACAGAGGAUCAAAAAUAGUUUGCUGAAGUGUUUGGUUUGCUUGGGGGAAAAGGAAGGUAUUAAUUAACUUUCAAGUUUAAACCACAAUGAGAUAUCAACAUAUAUCCCCAGAAUCACUACAAAGUAAAGGAUUAUAGGGCUGGGGAUUUAGCUCAUUGGCAUAAGCGCCUGCCUGGCAAGUGCAAGGUCAUGAAUUUGAUCCCUGGUACCAAAAACAAAAACAAAAAUUGAAGGUUCUGAUAAUGUUUGAAUUAUAUAAGUAAUGUCUCUAAAAAUUUUAAACUCCACCACAAAAGAUAAUACCGACAGCUGACUUUCUUAGCUUUGCUUCCAAGAAACAAUAAAAUUCUAAGCUCAUAAUUGAAGGAAUGGUGAAUGCAUUUCUUAAAGUAGUAAUAAAUAAAACCAGCAAAUGAACAAAAAACUUACUAAGAAUAGUUUCCUGAAUAGCCAGAACCUGAGCUACUAAAAGGUUUAACCUGAAUAGCCAGAACAGAGUGGUUUCAUCACUACAAGAGUCAGGUGAGGAUUUUUGUAUAAGGGUCCUGGGUACUUGAUGACCCAGCUGUUUAUAUGGUACCUGCAUAGUUAGGUCUUGGCCUAAGGUGAGCUUGUCAGAUUUUGAUCAGAAGGACAGUGGCUGUGAAAGAGUGGAGACAAAGGGGGAAGCAUCCGUUAGCAAGUGGAUCCAAGUAUUUCAUAUUUGGACCACUGGUGCUCCCAGGGACUGACAGUCUGAGAAAGCAACUUUGAAGUCAAAUGUCAUCCUUUAUGUACAAAUAAAUUGAAUUACUGUUACAUCUGGAAAUCCCAAGGUUAGGACUGUAAAGAAGGCCUUUUAUUUUUUAUUUGCAGGUUUAUGUCCUUUUCUAAGGUACCUUGUAGCCAAUAUCUGUCAGAUAUUACAGCAGAGCUUUCAUGUCUUUGCAGCAGACAACUUGGGUGUCAUUAAUCAGAAGCACAGUGACAUUUUGUGGUGGGAAACUAGUAAGAUCAACUGUGAAUGCUUCUCCAAAGAGGAUAAGCAAGUUUUGAGUUCUGGAUGGUUAAGUCCAAGUCAGUUAACCUUUGAGUUCAGAAUUGGGUCUUUAUACAUUUAAAGGUGAAGAGAGGCUGGUUGACAGGAGUCAAAUGAAGGCAGAAGAAGGCACUGUUUAAAUCCAGCAAGGGCACUGGCAAGUUGUGUGGGACAGCAGGAUGGAAAGCAGCCUUGGUGGGAGAUCUUGAAUGGGAUUUAUAGGCAGAAGUUUAUUUUAGCAAUUUGACAGCCUACAAACAUUUUGAGGCUUUGAAGCCUCUGUAUGCAUGAUUCCAUUGUUUUUUCAGGUAACCAUGACAGCAAGCAAGAAUGUACUGAGAAACAGUCUGUCUCAGAGCGACCAAAUCUGUUGUCAGAGCCUCAUUAUAAACAGCAGGAGAGGUCCCAAAUCCUUAGGAAAAUUGAAUCCAAGUGAGCUGGCCUUUUAUCCUGUCUCAGGAUCUUGUUAUGGGAGUCACCUUCAAGCAGAAGGCAUCUUCUAGUAUAGACAUGGAAACCAGAUGGCAACUGGAGGUAGCAAACCAAGAAAGGCAUAUAGGUUAGGAACCACAGAGGACAAGUUGUGGCUGUGUUGUUGAUGGCACAGAGCUCUUGCACUGAGUGAUAAUCCACAUUGGACAUUGUUACUGGGAGGAGAAAAGAGUUUCAAGGUGAUUAGCAGUCUGUCAGGUUUUCAAGUUGCUUCAGGGGGCUGAUGUGUGACUGGGUGCCUUUUUGUGAUUCCUGUGACAUUGGAUAUAAAAGCAUGGUUGAUGGCCACGCAAGGAGGCAAGUUUUAGUCCAUAUCUCUGGGAGGAGAGUUUUCAGAAUUUCAGAUUUCAGUCAUCUGUCUCAGACUAUUGCAGGGCCCAACAAGAGAGUGGCAGACUGGCUUGGUGCCUUUAAUUUAGAGAGGAGAUUUCUUCCCAGAAGCAGUAUGGAGCAUUCAGGCAUGUAUAGGAAAUCAUAUUUGGUGAAAUGUGCUCCCAGGUUGCAAGUUUGUGCCUGGUAAAGGGGUGAGGGGAAAGAGCCCUACUUAUCCAGAUGAUGCUGAUGCUAUGGGCACCAUUUGAAGAAGGGAGUCAGGUAUGGCCUAGUCUGAACUUGUCAAAUCAAUGAAAGUUUUGUCGUUUGAUCCAAGUUGAUUAUCUUUUAGUCUGAGUGAGCAUUUAUUUUUUAGUGUCCUCAGCCCUUAUAAUUUGCAUAUUGGUCUUUCCCAGAGAGGAUGUUCAUCUAUCAGACUGAAUUUUCUUGCAGAUAGAGGUGCUUUUUGUGCAAUUAAGGCCACAUUUAUUAUAUGUGAAUUUUCAGGGGCCUUUGGGUCAAAGUGGUGUGAGCCCUGUAGACUUGAUCGAAUCUCUUAUAAACUUUCAAAGGGCUUUUGUGUAACAGUCAUAACUUUUGACAAAUGGUUGAGCUCUCCCCUACUUUGAUGCCAUGAGAAAUGCUUCACUGGGUUGCUUUGAUUUUUUUUUUUUUCCUGACUGGAAAGCUGGCCUGGCAGGAGCUAUAGUGAAAUCUUCCAAGAUUGAGUUUUUAGAAUCUGUGCAGGGUCAGAGAGCAGCAGUUUAAUUUUAUUUUAACUCUAUAAUCACUGGAAAAGCUCUUUUUAAAAUGCUUAUGUCUGCAGUCAAGAACUGUGAAUUUUGACUAAUUAGUUCCCAUUCCUGACAUCCUAUGUAUGUGAGGUGUACCAUUAAAUAAUGGUGCAACUAAGGGUAGGUGUCCCUCAUAGAGAGACACCAUUCAGAUGCUCACCUGGAUGCUUGCCUCUCAGCAAUGCUGGAACCAUAUGGGCUACGGAGAAGCAUUGAUAAGUUCUCCAUUUUGUCCUUACUAGCUGUGUCCAUGGAACCACAGUUUGGGUUCAAUUAAGCUCCGCAGUUUGAAGAUGGAAGUCCAACUUCUCACUGUGGGGCACAAAGAGAAUGGCCUACUACUUUUGCUGUUCAUUACGAGCACAAAAUCAUUCAGCAGGCAUUCAGGAAUAAAACAUGCCAAUCACCUUCCCUCAAGCGUGGUCUUGAAUAGUGAGAGUUGAUGAGGGUCUCCUGCUUGAGCUGAGCAGCAAUGAUACAUAAACUAACUGGGGUGCCCGUGGACAUCUUACCAGAAUGACAGGCAUGCAAGCAUCCUCCUCCCUUUUGUGUCUGAUGUGAGCUGCUUGAACAGGAAGCCCAAAAUUCUUCUCUUCACAUCCAGGGGACAUGAGAAAUCUUGAGUAUACACCUUCCUGUCAGGCUGGAGAGGCCCUUACUCAGUCUGAGAGGUCAGAACUGGUCACCAAAGAGAUCAGCAUGGUUGAUCUUUCCAGCCAAGCACCAAAUACUAUGGCAAACAGGAACACUGAAAUGAUGCCUAGGAUUUGGAGUCAGAUUUAUUUAUGUUGAUGGACACUGACCUCAAGAAAAAAUGUCAGGCACUGACUGAAGGCUCAGAGAAGGAGGUGUCUCAUGGAGUUUUCAAGCAACAAAUAGAGUACUUGGCUCUCUUUGAUUGGUUCUUACAAUAUACAUCAUAGACCAUCUGUGCAUCACAGUGACCAGCUCUUUCUAAGAAACAGAAGUAGCAGGAACUGUAUAACAGGUACUGUUAGGUAGGCAACUAGCAGAAACUGAAGUAUACAUGUGUGUGUGUGUGGGGGGGGGGUAUGCUCUGCUAUGUCCCUACUCUGAUAUCUUUUUAAAGCAGUAGGUGUUUAUGUUGGGUUCAUGUCUUUAUUCACAUCAAGGGCUCAAGGGUCAGUCAUAGUUUGGGGACCAAGGAGCUCAGAAUCAUUCAUAGGUCUUCUCACUGUUUUUUGUCUUUUUAAUUGUUGCAUGCCACAUACUCUACAAGAUGAGUUUUAGCUCAAAACUAUAUGUCAGCGGACUUCCGGGAGAACAUGGUGGACAGAUAACAGCAACUACCGGAGGCUCUCUGAAAGAAUCGGCUCAGAAGCCAGGAAUGGUGCGGACUAAGGAGACAUAAGCAGGUGGAGAUAUGCUCUGCUGACUCAAGAACGAACUGGGCUGAGAGAAACCAACUUGGAAUGCAGUCCUGGCGCUAAAACAGGAACAGAAAAGCCUCAGUGUGGAGGCUGGACCCUGUGCCAUUGUAAGCCGCGAUUUGGGUUUCCCGCCACGCGGCGGCUGGCUGCCUCUACCUCGGCUCGGCAAGAAGAGACGCGCAGAAGCUCUGAGAACGGCAAUCUGCGAACGGCAGGGAGGUGUGCACUGACUUGUGGUGAGGUGAGUGAGAGAAACUGACACUCUACCACAGUUCGACUCCAGCAGAGGACUUUCUGGGCCUGAGCAGUCCUGCGGGAGCAGGGCGCGGUGGCGACUCCAGCCACACAUCCCCCUCUUGGGCGGGAUUGGUGAAAAGUGCCUGGCCUGCGUGACGCUGCCGGCGGACCUGGUGGGCUGUCCUAACCCAGAUCCCAGAGCCUGACGGUGGCCGGGAGGGGAGAUGUGUAGGCUGCCUGGUCCGUAACUCCCUGGUGCGCAGUGGUGAGCGCGAACACCUAACUGGCGCAAUUCAAUCAGGCUGUGGCUGACUGGGAGAGAAGCUGGGCCUCUUAUAUAAGCUUGCAUAUAUAAGGAACAGAGAAGAAGAGGCAGCAUGGGAAGAGGCAGCAACAAGAAAGGCUCCUCGGCCCCCAAUUCUGAGAAUCAGGCAAUAGCAGACACCGCACCAAUACACAUAAGGCACCAUAUAGAGAGCCUCAUAGACCAAUUCAGGAAUGAAGUUAUCAAUGACCUGAAGCUAGAAGUAUGCAGAAUAGUUAGAGAAAUGCUAAGUACCACCCAAGAAAAAACAGGUGGUGGAAUGGAAGAACAGAAAAAAAGGGGAGAAUUGUUUGAUGGAGAAAACAGAGAAAGCAUAGAAUACGUGAAGCAGGUUCAAAGGGACUACCAAGAUACUAAGAAGUCUAUCGAAGACUGGCAUAACAGCUUGAAAGAAACUAAGGACUGACUAUCUGAACUGGAGGGCAGACUUGUAAUAUGGGAGAAUGAAAUGAAAAACUUCUUAAAAAUAACAAAGAAACAAACAGCAAUAAUACAAAGACAAGAAGAUGAUAAGAGGAUCCAUAA